UUUUUUUUUUUUUUUUUAACCCAGUAGUAGCCUAAAGCAAUGACUCCCAAGCGAUAGAGAAGGGAAGCUUAUCUUUUAAAUUAUAAUUUGGGGGGGAGGGCGCUGCUUUUUUGAGAUUUUAAGCUAAGCAUGUGUAAUUUCUUGUGAAGAAGCCAACACUUAAAUGACUUUUGAAGUUGUUUACUUUUUUUUGUAGUUUUUUUAUUUUAUUUUUUUAUUUUUUCAUUUUUUACCUUGUUUCUUUUCCUUUGGUCCUGAAAUAAACAGUGGCAUGCUGGGGGUUUCUUUGGGGAGGGUUGGGUGGGGGGGAGUGGAUGUACAGCGGAUAACAAUCUUUAAAGUUGUAGCACUUUGUUUCAGAAUCAGAAUGGAGAUGUAGCACUGAUGGCCUGUCCUGAGUCACAGAGGCCUUUCCUGUGUUGAUUUCAAACCUUUACAUUUUAUAAGGAAACGUUUCAGUGGUGGCGGUGGGGGGGGGGGGGAAGAGAGCUAGAGGACCCCCCACCCCCACCCCAUGAAACUCAGCACUGCCAGAGAAAUAGGAAUUUUUGAGAGCUGCCGGGGAGAUGGCCCGAGAGCAUGCUCUGGUUGUGCAUCACCAGUAGGUACUGUCCUUUCCUCGGAGUGUCCUUGUGCCUGGGAUGCCAUCUGCGUUCUUGGCUGUGGAUUAGGCUUAAUAAAAUGGGCAGAGGGUACUUUUCUUGGGUAGAUGGAGGUGACCUGCAGUGACAUAGAAAGGAAGGGACCAGUGGUAUUCUUUCAGGCUUCUUCUGGCUUGAUGGCUUCUCUCUCAAUCUCUCUCUCUCUCUCUUCAUCACCACCCCCCGCCACAAAAAUCCCAAGUCGUAUGUUUCUACCAGUGAUGAUUGACCAUGUCUUAAGCAGACAAGUGCCCCAAUGAGGUGAACGGAGAGAAGGCGGUAUUCUCUCAUUGAAUGCACACUGAUGACAUUGUAUGGAGGGGGGUGGGGGAGGAUCUUGCGAAUUUCUGUUCCCCUUUGACCGGAAAAGCAGGGAAAGAGUUCCAUCCGAAGGUGCCCAGCGCUACUUCCCCAAUUUUUUUUUUUCCCCUAUCCCAUUAGGUUGGAAGGUACUAAACAUUGAACUGUCAAGAUUAGACAUUCGAAUUCUGUUGACCCGCACUUUAAAGCUUUUGUUUGCAUUUAAAUUAAAUGGCUUCUAAACAAGAAAUUGCAGCAUAUUCUUGUCUUUGGCCCAGAGGUGGGUUAACCUGUAAGGACGGCUGAGAUUGAGUGUCAGUGUUGCUAAGCGUGGCAUUCACAAUACUGACACUAUAAAGAAGAAAAUAAAAUAAUUUAUUGGACGGUUUUUCUACUGCCAUUCAAUUCGAUGUGAGUGCCUUGAAAACUGAUCUUCCUAUUUGAGUCUCUUGAGACCAAUGCAAAACUUUUUUUUUUUUUUUUUUAAAAUGAAAAGACUUUUUAAAAGAGUAAAACAAGAAAAGUACAUUCUUUAGACACAAACAAAGCCACAUUUCCUUUUCAUUAAAUUAAAAAAAAAAAAAUCCUGGUUGAAGAUAGAGGACAUGAAAAUGCCAUAAGACCCAAUCAAAUGAAGAGAUAAGCCCAGCACAACCGCGGACAUCCUUAGCUGAAUUACCCUCAACCCCUUUUGUUUGUGGGACAACGCUGCUUAGAUUUGGCGUGGAGGUGAUUUACUGCUGAAUUAAAACUCAAGUGACACAAGUUACACGUUGAUAUCGUUGAAUGAAAAACAAAAAUUCAGGAACAACGGCUAAUUUCUUUUCUAAAGUUAAAUUUAGUGCACUCUGUCUUAAAAAUACGUUUACAGUAUUGGAUACAUACAAGGGUAAAAAAAAAAUUGUGUGUAUGUGUGUUGGAGCGAUCUUUUUUUUUUUUUUUUUCCAAGUUUGCUUACUAGGUUAUAAGAAAAUGCCACAGUGGCUGCGUGUAUAUUGUUUUCUUUUUGGUGACGGGGUUUUAGUAUAUAUUAUAUAUAUUAAAAUUUCUUGAUUACUGUACAAGUGGACCAGUAUUUGUAAUAAUCGAGAAUGCCUGGGCAUUUUACAAAACAAGAAAAAAAAAAAAACCCUUUUCUUUUCCUUGAAAAUGUUGCAGUAAUUUUAAAUGGUGGGUCUAUCAAUUUGUUCUUGUCACAGUAACUGUAAAGUCGGAGUUUUAGUAAAUUCUUUUCUGCCUUGGGUGUUGAAUUUUUAUUUCAAAAAAAAAUGUAUAGAAACUUGUAUUUGGGGAUUAAAAGGGGAUUGCUACACCAUGUAGAAAAAGUAUGUAGAAAAAAAAGUGCUUAAUAUUGUUAUUGCUUUGCAGAAAAAAAAAAUCACAUUUCUGACCUUUACUUAUUUUUCUCUCCCUGCCCCCCUCUGGAAUGGAUAUAUUGGUUGGUUCAUAUGAUGUAGGCACUUGCUGUAUUUUUACUGGAGCUUGUAAUUUUUUAACUGUAAGCUUGUCCUUUUAAAGGGAUUUAAUGUACCUUUUUGUUAGUGAAUUUGGAAAUAAAAAGAAAAAAAAAAACAAAAACAAACAGGCUGCCAUAAUAUAUUUUUUUAAUUUGGCAGGAUAAAAUAUUGCAAAAAAAAAAUUUGUAUGUUUAGUCCUAUUGUACAGGAGAAAAAGGGUUGUUUGACAACCUUUGAGGAAAAGAAACAAAAAGCAAGUCGUUAAAUGCUUUGGCUCACAGAUCAUUUUAGUUGUAUAUAUUUUUGUCGGAAUUGGCCUAUACAAAGGACUGUGGGAUCAGGGCUUCUCCUCCGAACGCCCCGAACCUUGCAUCAAGGCUCCCUGGUGUGGCCACAGCAGACCGGAUGGGAAAUUUCUUUAUUCGUGUUGAGUGGAGAAAUCCGUUUUUGUAAAGAUGUCGGUAACAUUUCACAGAGUCCUCUCGUUCCCCAAGAGGCCAUCUGUAGGAUGUCAGGUGUUAGGAGAGAGCGGGAGAGCGUCCCCUUCUCUCCUGUCCCCACUGUGGCCAGUCACCCCGUCCCCCGCCCACCCUUAAGUGCAGAAAGGAACGCAAACCCGAGCUUCCUCUAGUCCCUGAGAAAACAUUAAACAGACAAAAGGCGCUGGUGGAUCAGCCAGGCACGGGGGCCGGGGACGCGAGACCAGCGGACACCGGGUGUCAGGAAGGAGUCCCCGUCACCACCAGGGCCUGGCACUCGUGGAGAGUGUUGGCCUCUUGUCUUUCUUCCCUGCUCUGCUGCUUUUCUCGCUGAAACCUGCGUCCGUCAGUGUCUGAGUGCCGAGGGCCUGGGAUGAAUUCGGUGCCUUUCCAGAGCUCUCUCCUUCCUCUGUUUCCUACCUGCCCCCCCCCCCCCAUCUCCAGCCCCUUGUCAAUCCUUUCUUUUGUCCUCUUCAUUUUUAUUUAAUUCUUUAAUUUCUCUUCUUUCUCCCCCUGUGUCCCCCCCCCCUUUUUUUUUGUAAAGCCAAGUAGCUUUAAGAUAAUAAAAGUGGUGGUUUUUUGGAUGAGGGAAUAAUAACAUUUUUUUUUUAAUGAAACCUAUAUCAGGAAGCCUUUUUUUUUUUUUUUUUUUUUAAUUUCAGGAACUGUAAAACCAUUCCUUCAAGGUUAGGAAAGGAUAACCAAGCAUCUUUUGGGGCAGUUCGUUACCAAAUGCAGAAAUCUUUCUUCCGGGAGCUCUUCUGUUUCCGUACGCCCUCCCCUCCUUUGCCACUGACCUUUGCCAAGUGAACAGAGAAAAAGCGGAGAUGUCAGUUUCCCACCUGCCCGACCUGGACACCCCCCCCCCCGGGGGACCACCCUUUCCGGGGAGGGGGUGGGGGACCACCCUCCGAAGGUCCUGGAGAGCCUCCAAGGUGGUCCUCCUGUAGUUGCGAAAGCUAGCCAGCCCUCACCAGCUUCCACAAAGUCACCAGAAUGCCAGGACUAAGCCAUCCUAAAGCACAACGAUUGUGUCUCUGUCGUCUGCAGAGAAAAGAGCAUUAUGCUUCUCUUUCAUGUUUAAAAAGCCAGCACUGGAGCAGAGGAGACCCCAGUGAGAGAGGCCCCGAGCCUGGGUGACCCAGCCGACCCCAGGCUGGUUUCCAUACUGCCACAACUUUGUUCAAAGUUGCCCCCAAAUUGGAACCUGCCACCCGCCAGUAGAGGGUCUUUCGUGGGGAGAGGAGAAGGCUGAAGUACUCUAAGCAAAAUGUGAAAAGGAAGGAAGUCAGCCUUUCAUCCCGGUCCGUAGCAAAGGUUUUGUUGCGCACAGGCAAACCGUGAUUUUGGUGCUCUUUGUAUCUCAACCCUGCAAAGCAAAGUUACAUUGAUUUAAGUUGUUUGCAUUUGUACUGGCGAGGCGAAAUAUUUUUAUUACCUUUUCUAUUACUUAUUGUAUGAGCUUUUGUUGUUUACUUGGAGGUUCUGUCUUUUACUACAAGUUUGGAACUAUUUAUUAUUGCUUGGUAUUUGUGCUCUGUUUAAGAAACGGGCACUUUUUUUUUUAUUAUGGAUAAAAUGUUGAGAUGACAGGAGGUCAUUUCAAUAUGGCUUAGUAAAAUAUUUAUUGUUCCUUUUAUUCUCUGUACAAGAUUUUGGGCCUCUUUUUUCCCUUAAUGUCACAAUGUUGAGUUCAGCAUGUGUCUGCCAUUUCAUUUGUACGCUUGUUCAAAACCAAGUUUGUUCUGGUUUCAAGUUAUAAAAAU
rnacentral:lncRNA from 1 species